rnacentral:rRNA from 1 species
AUGAACGCUAGCUACAGGCUUAACACAUGCAAGUCGAGGGGCAGCAUGGUCUUAGCUUGCUAAGGCCGAUGGCGACCGGCGCACGGGUGAGUAACACGUAUCCAACCUGCCGUCUACUCUUGGACAGCCUUCUGAAAGGAAGAUUAAUACAAGAUGGCAUCAUGAGUCCGCAUGUUCACAUGAUUAAAGGUAUUCCGGUAGACGAUGGGGAUGCGUUCCAUUAGAUAGUAGGCGGGGUAACGGCCCACCUAGUCUUCGAUGGAUAGGGGUUCUGAGAGGAAGGUCCCCCACAUUGGAACUGAGACACGGUCCAAACUCCUACGGGAGGCAGCAGUGAGGAAUAUUGGUCAAUGGGCGAGAGCCUGAACCAGCCAAGUAGCGUGAAGGAUGACUGCCCUAUGGGUUGUAAACUUCUUUUAUAAAGGAAUAAAGUCGGGUAUGGAUACCCGUUUGCAUGUACUUUAUGAAUAAGGAUCGGCUAACUCCGUGCCAGCAGCCGCGGUAAUACGGAGGAUCCGAGCGUUAUCCGGAUUUAUUGGGUUUAAAGGGAGCGUAGAUGGAUAUUUAAGUCAGUUGUGAAAGUUUGCGGCUCAACCGUAAAAUUGCAGUUGAUACUGGAUAUCUUGAGUGCAGUUGAGGCAGGCGGAAUUCGUGGUGUAGCGGUGAAAUGCUUAGAUAUCACGAAGAACUCCGAUUGCGAAGGCAGCCUGCUAAGCUGCAACUGACAUUGAGGCUCGAAAGUGUGGGUAUCAAACAGGAUUAGAUACCCUGGUAGUCCACACGGUAAACGAUGAAUACUCGCUGUUUGCGAUAUACUGCAAGCGGCCAAGCGAAAGCGUUAAGUAUUCCACCUGGGGAGUACGCCGGCAACGGUGAAACUCAAAGGAAUUGACGGGGGCCCGCACAAGCGGAGGAACAUGUGGUUUAAUUCGAUGAUACGCGAGGAACCUUACCCGGGCUUAAAUUGCAGAUGAAUUACGGUGAAAGCCGUAAGCCGCAAGGCAUCUGUGUAGGUGCUGCAUGGUUGUCGUCAGCUCGUGCCGUGAGGUGUCGGCUUAAGUGCCAUAACGAGCGCAACCCUUGUUGUCAGUUACUAACAGGUUCCGCUGAGGACUCUGACAAGACUGCCAUCGUAAGAUGUGAGGAAGGUGGGGAUGACGUCAAAUCAGCACGGCCCUUACGUCCGGGGCUACACACGUGUUACAAUGGGGGGUACAGAGGGCCGCUACCACGCGAGUGGAUGCCAAUCCCCAAAACCUCUCUCAGUUCGGACUGGAGUCUGCAACCCGACUCCACGAAGCUGGAUUCGCUAGUAAUCGCGCAUCAGCCACGGCGCGGUGAAUACGUUCCCGGGCCUUGUACACACCGCCCGUCAAGCCAUGGGAGCCGGGGGUACCUGAAGUGCGUAACCGCGAGGAGCGCCCUAGGGUAAAACUGGUGACUGGGGCU